rnacentral:tRNA from 1 species
CUAUCGGUAUCGUAGAGGUUGAAGCACCUGACUCUUAAUCAGGGUGUGCAGGGUUCGAUCCCCUGGAGGCGCA